AUUGAACGCUGGCGGCAGGCCUAACACAUGCAAGUCGAGCGGAUGAAGGGAGCUUGCUCCUGGAUUCAGCGGCGGACGGGUGAGUAAUGCCUAGGAAUCUGCCUGGUAGUGGGGGAUAACGUCCGGAAACGGGCGCUAAUACCGCAUACGUCCUGAGGGAGAAAGUGGGGGAUAUUCGGACCUCACGCUAUCAGAUGAGCCUAGGUCGGAUUAGCUAGUUGGUGGGGUAAAGGCCUACCAAGGCGACGAUCCGUAACUGGUCUGAGAGGAUGAUCAGUCAGACUGGAAGUGAGAAGCGGGCAGGACGCCUAGGGGGGGCAGCGGUGGGGAAUUUUGGAGAAUGGGCGAAAGCCUGAUCUAGCCAUGCCGCGUGUGUGAAGAAGGUCUUCGGAUUGUAAAGCACUUUAAGUUGGGAGGAAGGACAGUAAUUGAAUACCUGGCUGUUUUGACGUUACCAACAGAAGAAGCACCGGCUAACUUCGUG
rnacentral:rRNA from 1 species